AUACCCUAUUAUUUUUAAUGUAAAAUUUUAAAGCUAGAGUAUUAAUAGUUAUGAUCUUUAAACUUAAAGAAUUUGGCGGUAUUAUAGUCUAUUUAGAGGAAUCUGUUAUGUAAUCGAUAGACCACGUUGAACCUUACUUAUAUGAUUUUUUUUUGUAUAUCGUUGUUUAAGUGAAUAUUUUUAGAUUAAUUUUCUUAAUAUAUAAAUAAUUAGAAUUUCAAAUCAAGGUGCAGUAAUAUAUAAGUUGAGUAAUGGAUUACAAUAAAUUAUAUUUAAAUGAAUAAUUAUUGGAAUAAUAAUUUGAAGGUGGAUUUAAUAGUAAUCUUAUAAAGAUUAAUAAGUUGAUUUAAGCUCUAUAAUA
rnacentral:rRNA from 1 species